rnacentral:tRNA from 1 species
GGCUUUAUAGUCAAUAUAUGAUUUUAGGCUGCAAUCUUAAAGUAGAGUAAUAUCUCUAAAGCCU